CAGAAAUAAGACUCAGACUCAAAACAUAUUUACCAUAUAUUUUAAUCAAAAAUAUAUUUGGCCAUAUAGUUGGGCUCUUCUCUGACUACAUCAUAACUUAAAAUAACACUUUUAUUUUAAUCUGCAUUCUGCCACAUGGCUGGUUACCUGUGCUUAGGUACCAUGUGGCUGUCUCCUCACAUCUUCCCCAGGUGAAGCUCCCAUGCCUUGCUCUAUCCCAGGAUCCCUUCUGCAUGUUCCACCUCCUGUUUCCUACCUAAGCUAUAGGCCAUCAAAUUUGUUAUAGACAGGUGCCACAUCCAUCCACAGACAGACAGAUAAAAGAUAUAUUUUCUACACCUCAGGAUGACAUGUACUGGCUCAAUUUUUCAGCAGUAGCACCCAACACUUAGCUCAUGGGAUGUCUUGAAACACUUGUUCCUUUCAUCUCCUUGAAAGAUCUCAUCAGAGAGUAGACAUUACACUUUGUAGUGAGAGAAAUCUAUACUUCAAUAAAUAAAAUAGGUCUUCGGUUUUGGUGAUAUGGUUGGCAAGCAUGGGGAUAUAUCUGGACCAAGAUAUUCACCUGUACAGCAUACACUUGAGCACUGAUGAUAUUAUAUAGUCAGCAUCACCCUUGGAGUAUGGCAAAAUGGGCUUCUUUCCCAAGUCCCAUGUCUUGAAGGACCACAUAUUAGCUUUCCUCAGAUGGUGUCUCUCCUGCUAAGAGCAGAAUUUCAGGUCUCCACAGGGAUGUCCCUUCCAUUGCCAAGAGCAUUCCCGCUCAAGGCCUCUGAGAUCCAGGAUUUCACUGUCUGUUUUACUGAGUCUUUGUAGGUCUUGUCCAGUCAUUCUGGGAGCGAUCAGGCUGCAUGGUGUGUAGUCUAGACAGUCAAGAGAAGUCCAAGAGACUUCUCUUACAAAGGCAAUCUUGAGACAGGGCUGGGGUUUUCCAAUAGGAUAUGCUGAAGAAAACACUGGAAAGUGGAGGUAAGAACUGUAAAGAGGACUUGGGGGCCUGGGAACCUGGGGCCUCCUUUCUCACUAAUUCUAGGCUCUUUGAAUAUCAGAGAGGCCUGAAAGACCAAGACAAAAAAAUUAUAAGAGUUUAAUGGAAAACACUUUUUAGUGAGUAUGAGUUCUUUAUUCUAGUGUAGCUAGAUAAGGCAAAGUCAUGGCUGUCUCCAUCCAAAUAACUGGCUCAUAACUAUAAACUGUCUAGUAAUUAUAAACUUUUUGUUAAUGGCUAGAUUCCAGCUUGAUCAGGUUCUGGGAGAGUCAAGUUUCGAUUAUGUUCCCAUGGAUAAUUGACAUAAUCUCAGCUGGAGAUCAUGGAAGGAAUGCUUUUUCAGAAGAUGACCUGUGCACUGUGUGCUUUAAAAACUUGCACUCAAAAUCUCUACCACACCAUAAGGAAUUGGGGCUGGUCCCAUGGCACAUACAUAUGCUACAGGGGUCCUCAGAUGCUCUCUCCCAGGCACGGAAUCUUCUUGGGCUUGCCAGGGAUAUACUGGGUAUCUUCCCCCAGAAGACCUGUGAUCCCCUUGAACUUUCCAUAUAAAGAUCUGAAGGAGUCUGGGCUACAUCUUCAGCAGCUCCUGGACUGAGUUGGCUGUCACGGAUAGGGUGAAGGUAGGGUUAAGGGGAGAGUUCUGUCCAAGGCUCCUCUGGCAAGGGGUUGGAGAUGGGGGUGGGAAUAUCAGGAGCUGGAGCCAGCCAAGCCUGCUGGAGCAGCGCCCUGGAUCUUUCCCAGGGCAGCCAGCAGAGCCGGCAGCUGUUUCCUCACUAUGUGUGAGCCAACCCCAGAUAGACAGUGUGGCCCCUGACACAGACAAGACGAGGUGGGCGCAUGCCAAGAACAUCAACAUGGUCUCCGGGGCAACAUGGACCAUGGACACCAGCGUGGCCUUCAAAGAGUUGAGGAGCAAACCCAGCGCCUUGCGCUUGAUAGCAGGUCCACGAUGUCAUAGCAACCUGAUAUGUGGCAGGAAUCCUCAAACAUCCGCAAGCAUUGCACCCAAUAGGCCUACGGCACCAAAUCCUAAGAUGAGCCUCCAGUCUCCUCCAAACUCAACAAGGACAUAUAUGUUCUAUCAUCCUGAACACGACCCCAUGAGGCAGAAACGCUUGCCAAAUCCAUUGGGAAAUUCUACUUAAAGGUUAAAGCCAAAGCUGCUUUGCAAAGGAAAGCUGUUCUAUGGUCAAGUUCACUGUCGGCCACAAUAACAAAAUGACUUACUAGUACUAAUCAGCUAAUCCUGGUAAGACACACCAACAGUCAAAACCACUGCUGAUUCCAAAAGUUUAAACAUGGCUGAGUUGCAUCUCUUCUUUGCGGAGCUGAAUUCUAGAAGAUUCGCAAUUGUCUCCUUCAGCCACUGAGAGAAUGAGAGGAGACAAAAUCAUGCAACAUUUCCAGCGAGACUGAACCCACAAGUGCUGAGAGCUCCUCGCGUCUGCUUUGACGCUACAUUGACGCUCCAUGGCAUGGAAAAGGGGCUGGCUUCCUAAUGUGGAGAGGAAGUUUAUGCAUUCUAAGGAAGAGAAGCUGCUCUCUCCUUGGACGUCCUGCUCACCUAGGCACCUGGGGUCCAUCUUUCAUCUGGCUCUAAUCAUCUUGGCCAAGAACACGCCUCCUGACUCCCCUCAGCACAGACCCCACAGUUUUCUGGAAGGCUGUCUCCAAAGCACACAGAAGAACAGGAGGCUUCCUCUGCACCCUGAUUUGUGUUAAAGGCACGUUUUUAUUUCCAAACUUGAGAGUUAUUACCUACACACUGAAAUUAAGUAUAUUUUAUGGA